rnacentral:rRNA from 1 species
GAUGAACGCUGGCGGCGUGCUUAACACAUGCAAGUCGAACGGUGAACACGGAGCUUGCUCUGUGGGAUCAGUGGCGAACGGGUGAGUAACACGUGAGCAACCUGCCCCUGACUCUGGGAUAAGCGCUGGAAACGGCGUCUAAUACUGGAUAUGUGACGUGACCGCAUGGUCUGCGUUUGGAAAGAUUUUUCGGUUGGGGAUGGGCUCGCGGCCUAUCAGCUUGUUGGUGAGGUAAUGGCUCACCAAGGCGUCGACGGGUAGCCGGCCUGAGAGGGUGACCGGCCACACUGGGAUUGAGACACGGCCCAGACUCCUAAGGGAGGCAGCAGUGGGGAAUAUUGCAAAAUGGGCGAAAGCCUGAUGCAGCAACGCCGCGUGAGGGAUGACGGCCUUCGGGUUGUAAACCUUGUUUAGCAGGGAAGAAGCGAAAGUGACGGUACCUGCAGAAAAAGAGCCGGCUAACUACGUG